UACGUAGGUGGCAAGCGUUGUCCGGAUUUACUGGGCGUAAAGGAUGCGUAGGCGGACAUUUAAGUCAGAUGUGAAAUACCCGAGCUUAACUUGGGUGCUGCAUUUGAAACUGGGUGUCUAGAGUGCAGGAGAGGUAAGUGGAAUUCCUAGUGUAGCGGUGAAAUGCGUAGAGAUUAGGAAGAACACCAGUGGCGAAGGCGACUUACUGGACGGUAACUGACGCUGAGACGCGAAAGCGUGGGGAGCAAACAGG
rnacentral:rRNA from 1 species